GUGAAGUUAGGCAGGUUCAUAUCAAACUCUCUACCUAAACAUAAAAAUUGAUUCCUGCCCAUCCUUUCACAUUUAUUCAUAUAGCCAUUUAAGACAUUCUUUCCUUGUUUCUAGGUAUGCUCUGCCUCUAUGCUCAAGGAAACACAUUUGAAUUUACAUUCAUAUACCCUGUGUUUUCACACCUUAUGUUAAAACCCAACAAAAAUUAUGUAGUAGGAACUAAAAGCAAACAAAACGGAAUACCUAGCUACAACCUGGCAUAGACAUUAUAAAAAUGAAGACAUAUAUGAUAACCUUAAUUAUUGAAUUUUUUUAACCUUAAUUAUUUUUUUUUUCUUAAUCCUAUUUCCAACCAGUAACCAUUAAAAAUGACAUAUCAUUGGUGGUCCAAGC
rnacentral:misc_RNA from 1 species